CUCGUAGGCGGUUCGUCGCGUCCGGUGUGAAAGUCUAUCGCUUAACGGUGGAUCUGCGCCGGGUACGGGCGGGCUGGAGUGCGGUAGGGGAGACUGGAAUUCCCGGUGUAACGGUGGAAUGUGUAGAUAUCGGGAAGAACACCAAUGGCGAAGGCAGGUCUCUGGGCCGUUACUGACGCUGAGGAGCGAAAGCGUGGGGAGCGAACA
rnacentral:rRNA from 1 species